AUUAAAUCCAGACUUUGAUACCCACAGAGUAGAAGCAUUGACCACUUUUAUUUUUUUAUCCCCCUACAGAUUCGUCCACGACAAUCAAGGACAGUGUGACAUCCAAUGACGUUUACUACCCUGACCUCAGCACUGCCCCAGAGCCAUGUGAGUUCCUGUUGUGUGCACUGCAGCGGAAUCCACAUGGAUGACAAUUUCGGAUUUAACAGUGAGGUUAAACUCCAAGCGAAACCCUGAUUUGGUCUGUCCGUUCUUGUUUUUCAGCUGAGCCAAAGGGUACAACUACUUCCUUUCCUUGGAACAACAUAGACAUCGCCCUGAGCCAAAGCACGCAGAAAGUGAUCUCUGAAGUUGAAGCGACGUACUCGGCCUUUGUGAAACCUGACGUUCAGAAAGACCCUAGAAGCAGCACUGUACCAACUCUCGGUGAGUCCCCGUGGACAACUCUCGGUGAGUCCCCUUCUGCAGGAAGGUCUCCUGAAGCUGUAGGCAGAUACACCAUCAUUGUUUUGUUAGUGUAUGGUGAUAACAAAAUCGUUUUGAGAUUACAAUUUUGAAAUACUGGGUAUGUUCUCUUGGUUGUGUUUUUGGAAGAGAGCAAGCUGGGGUAUGUGAAAAGAUAAUUCCUAAUGCAAGAAAUUGUAAACGGUUAAUAAAGUGAUCUUAAAAGGCUCACUGAGAGUAAAAGGACCAAACUUAACUAUGCAGAUUAGCUGAGUUCGUGACUCAUCAUGAACAGUGAUGUUUUUUCCCUUUUAAUUUUACAUGCAAUGAAUAAACAUUUAGUUUAAAAAAGCAUUUUAGUCCAUUAUAUAAACAUGCAUCCCUCUCUAUUUAAAUGCAUUCCUAUAGGAAAUCAGUUUUUAGUUUUUAUAGUCCCAGAAUUAUCCUUUUUAAAACACACGUUAGAGAAAUGAUUUCACCUACCUCUCUCUAAAGCUAGUGGCAUGAUUUGUGAGCAUUGCAGUGAAUCAGCAGUGACAACAAAUAAUAAUAAAUAAAGAAUUAUUGCUUACACUUAUAUAGCGCUUUUCUCGGCACUCCACCCAAAGCGCUUUACAGGUAAUGGGGAUCCCCUCCACCGCCACCAAUAUGUAACCCCCACCACAGUGCCAAUAAAUUCCACAGCAGCCACAGUGCACCAGUCCGCUCCCCACACACCAGCUCUCAGUGGGGAGGACAACAGAGUGAUGAAGCCAGUUCAGAGAUGGGGAUUAUUAAGAGGCCAUGAUGGGUAAGGGUCAGGGGGAAAUUUGGCCAGGACACUGGGGGUAACACCCCUACUCUUUUAGAGAAAUACCCUGGGAUUUUUAAUGACCACUGAGAGUCAGGACCUCGGUUUUAUGUCUCAUCGGAAGAACGGCGCCUUUUUUACAAUAUUGUGUCCCCGUCACUAUACUGAGGCAUCAGGACCCAAACAGACCACAGGAUGAGCGCCCCCUGCUGGCCCCACUAACACCUCUUCCAGCAGCAACCUUAGUUUUUCCCAGGAGGUCUCCCAUCC
ensembl:lincRNA